rnacentral:tRNA from 1 species
UCAACGAGUCAACUAAGCUUUGUAAGAGCUUUAACUGUUUGCUGUUGG